GUAGGUGGCAAGCGUUGUCCGGAAUUAUUGGGCGUAAAGCGCGCGCAGGCGGUCCUUUAAGUCUGAUGUGAAAGCCCACGGCUCAACCGUGGAGGGUCAUUGGAAACUGGGGGACUUGAGUGCAGAAGAGGAGAGUGGAAUUCCACGUGUAGCGGUGAAAUGCGUAGAGAUGUGGAGGAACACCAGUGGCGAAGGCGACUCUCUGGUCUGUAACUGACGCUGAGGCGCGAAAGCGUGGGGGAGCGAACAGGAUUAGAUACCCUGGUAGUCCACGCCGUAAACGAUGAGUGCUAAGUGUUAGAGGGUUUCCGCCCCCCUUAGUGCUGCAGCUAACGCAUUAAGCACUCCGCCUGGGAGUACGGUCGCAAGACUG
rnacentral:rRNA from 1 species